rnacentral:rRNA from 1 species
UACGGGGGGAGCAAGCGUUGUUCGGAUUUACUGGGCGUAAAGGGCGCGUAGGCGGCCACCGCAAGUCGGUUGUGAAAUCUCUGGGCUUAACCCAGAAAGGUCAAUCGAUACUGCGGGGCUAGAGUGCAGAAGGGGCAACUGGAAUUCUCGGUGUAGCGGUGAAAUGCGUAGAUAUCGAGAGGAACACCUGCGGCGAAGGCGGGUUGCUGGGCUGACACUGACGCUGAGACGCGAAAGCGUGGGGAGCGAACAGG